rnacentral:lncRNA from 1 species
CAUAUACAGUAUCUAAAUAGUAAAAUUUAUAAAUGCAAUACAUUAAAAGAACUAAUGCUACUGGUAUCCAUAGCUAGAAUACAUAAAUACAAAUAAUUAGAGGCAUGAAACUCUAACAUUAGAUAGACCCAUGUAAAUUGCAUACAUGUAACCCUUAUAAACUUGGCGUCUAAUUUUUUUUGCAGUAGGCUUUUAACCUAUUCAACAAGUCAAACACUCGGAAUGAAAUUAUGUCUUGAGUCUCGCUUCACCUAUUCAGCAAGCUACCAUCGACCUUAUUGCAGUCCAUAUGAAGAAGAGACGAACAUCAUAUUCUGCUGAAAAACAACAAUGUGAAGUUUAUGGAUAUCAUUGCCAUUAAUGUCACUAAAUUUAUUGAUCCAUAAAAACCAUGAGUAAGUGCAAAAGAAAACGAAUUUGGGUUGAGGGGAAUAAGGAAGGAUCAAACGAAAGAAUGAAUGGAUCACGCACAUACUGUUCAUAAGUUCUUCUCUGGAUGGAAAUGGAACCCAAUACAUGCUGCUGCAGCAUCCUUCUUGUCCGCUCCGAGGAACCCCAUUUGACCAUUUCCUCCGGUACCGCCCACGACAUCUUCUAUAACAUGUCCUCUUCCACCACUGACAUCUUCUCCGCCAUCUCAUUCACGAAGCCCUGUCCACCAUGUUUCACUUCAUAUUACAUUACUCUCAUGUAUCACACAUAUUACAACUCAACCAUGCAUAUAAGUGAAAUAUAGGAAUGGAUCUCUAGUACAACAAUAUAUGCACACUUUUUCCAGAGUGACUUCUAUGCUUGCUACUACUAUCUUCUACACAUAGACCAAGGUACUCUAAAGUGAAUAAGUGAUAUUUCCAGAUUAAAAGUUUGGCGUUGCUAAUUUCAGUAUCUACAUAAAACAAACUUUAAUAGAAAAACAUCAAGUCUGUUUAGAUAUCUCUACCUAAUAUUAAAAGGAUGAUUGUUUCUAAAAGACAUGCAUGGCCAUUGCUAAAUAUGGCUUUACUAGGUAUUACUACCAUUCUAGCAUCUGUCUAGGAUAAUUAUUACAAAGUCCAAACUACCAUGGACAAGGAGUUAUAGCACUGUCUCAAGAUUCUAACUUCUGCCCCUGUCGCAAGAUUCCGCCAUACUGUUUUACCUAUGUUUAUUCAGAUUGCAUAUUCAAAAAAUAACUAUACCAGUGAGCCUCAUAGGUUAAACCGAGCUUGCACACGCACGCAGAAAAUCAACCUAACUUCUCCCUUCUAACCCCGAACUGUCAAUAAGAAGCACAGCUACAAUGGUUAGUUGAAUGUUUGUGUGUUGCCAAUGGACUAACGGAAAAUAGUGAUUAAACAAUCGUUUAAAUUCAGAAAUGUCGAUCAUGUUGACAUAUGGUUUGCAUUCAUAUAGAGACAAACUAAUAUUCUCUCCUCUCCUCCUUGACAGCUGUCAUGUCGCCUUAACCACCAUCUCAAGCAACAAGGCCUAAUUGGGGCUUUAUAUACGGAUGAAAUAACCACUUUG